rnacentral:tRNA from 1 species
AAAAAUUUAGUUAAAAAAAUAACAUUAGUUUGUCAAACUAAAAUUAUUAACUGCUAAUAAUUUUUG